UACGUAGGGGGCGAGCGUUGUCCGGAGUUACUGGGCGUAAAGCGUGCGCAGGCGGUGAGCUGUGUCCGAUGUGAAAGCCCCGGGCUUAACCUGGGAAUGGCAUUGGAAACUGGCUCGCUGGAGUGUGGCAGAGGGGGGUGGAAUUCCGCGUGUAGCAGUGAAAUGCGUAGAGAUGCGGAGGAACACCGAUGGCGAAGGCAGCCCCCUGGGCUAACACUGACGCUCAGGCACGAAAGCGUGGGGAGCAAACAGG
rnacentral:rRNA from 1 species